GUGCUUACUUCGGCAGCACAUAUACUAAAAUUGGAAUGAUACAGAGAAGAUUAGUGUGGCCUCUUUGCAAGGAUGACACUCAAAAUAUGUGAAGCAUUCUAUAUUUUU
ensembl:snRNA U6 U6 spliceosomal RNA